UACGUAGGGAGCAAGCGUUGUCCGGAAUCAUUGGGCGGAACGCGCGCGUAGGCGGCCCUGUAAGUCCGUUGUGAAAGUCAAAGGCUCAACCUUUGAAAGCCGAUGGAUACUGCAGGGCUAGAGUCCGGAAGAGGCGAGUGGAAUUCCUGGUGUAGCGGUGGAAUGCGCAGAUAUCAGGAGGAACACCAAUAGCGAAGGCAGCUCGCUGGGACGGUACUGACGCUAAGGCGCGAAAGCGUGGGGAGCGAACAGG
rnacentral:rRNA from 1 species